UGGGGAAUUUUGGACAAUGGGCGAAAGCCUGAUCCAGCAAUGCCGCGUGUGUGAAGAAGGCCUUCGGGUUGUAAAGCACUUUUGUCCGGAAAGAAAUCCUUGGCUCUAAUACAGUCGGGGGAUGACGGUACCGGAAGAAUAAGCACCGGCUAACUACGUGCCAGCAGCCGCGGUAAUACGUAGGGUGCAAGCGUUAAUCGGAAUUACUGGGCGUAAAGCGUGCGCAGGCGGUUUGCUAAGACCGAUGUGAAAUCCCCGGGCUCAACCUGGGAACUGCAUUGGUGACUGGCAGGCUAGAGUAUGGCAGAGGGGGGUAGAAUUCCACGUGUAGCAGUGAAAUGCGUAGAGAUGUGGAGGAAUACCGAUGGCGAAGGCAGCCCCCUGGGCCAAUACUGACGCUCAUGCACGAAAGCGUGGGGAGCAAACAGGAUUAGAUACCCUGGUAGUCCACGCCCUAAACGAUGUCAACUAGUUGUUGGGGAUUCAUUCCUUAGUAACGUAGCUAACGCGUGAAGUUGACCGCCUGGGGAGUACGGUCGCAAGAUUAAACUCAAAUGAAUUGACGGGGUCAUAGCUGUUUCCU
rnacentral:rRNA from 1 species